UUGGGUUGGAUUUCUAUACGCAACAGUGAUCAUUGCAAAGGCCACGAGUGUGAUGGAGUGGUUCAAGAAACACAGUAGCGAGUUCCAGUUGAUGGGCUGACCCCCAGCUCUCCACAUCCGAACCUGUUGGAACAUAUUUGGGAUGUUAUGAAUCGUACCGUCAGAGCUCAUCGCCACUCUGCCCGGAAUAUAUGGGAAACAGGUGACUUUCGGUGUGUGCAGAUGUGGUGCCAAUUCACUCCAGCGACCUACCAAGGCUUCGUUGCUUCCAUGCCACGACGAGUCGUCAGUUACCUGUGCCAGAGGUGGACAUAUCGGCUAUUAGGAGCAUGUAUGAUGCCCUCAUUGAUUGCCAAGGAUUCCUCGCCAUAGACAAUAUAUUUGUUCCGAAGCAACUUGCAUUUUGGAUGUUGGGCAGUAGUCAAAGUAAUGGUUGUUUAUGGAGAUUUCAUUCUACAGUGGACACCUCCCAACUACGAGUUAGAUAUAACUUCUGCAAAAUGCCUCAUGGAAAAUUGGUACCAACAUGGUAUUCGCUCAGGAUACAUCAUUCAUAUUGUAUACACUUUGCCCACAAACUCAAACUGGAUGUCAUUAACAUUUUAGUAAGGCAUUUACAACCUACUGUCUACAAUCGAUGAUACAGAAAGUGUUGAAGUUAAAUUCCUAUUUCUUCUUCCUAUUCUUUACUGUGACAGCAACGAAUUUCACUGUUUAAUUGUAUGAAAAUGUAGAAAUAUAAUAAAAUUUACAUCUGUA